UUCCAGACUCCUACGGGAGGCAGCAGUGGGGGAUAUUGCACAAUGGGGGGAACCCUGAUGCAGCGACGCCGCGUGAGCGAUGAAGUAUUUCGGUAUGUAAAGCUCUCUCAGCAGGGAAGAAAAUGACGGUACCUGACUAAGAAGCCCCGGCUAACUACGUGCCAGCAGCCGCGGUAAUACGUAGGGGGCAAGCGUUAUCCGGAUUUACUGGGUGUAAAGGGAGCGUAGACGGCAGUGCAAGUCUGAAGUGAAAGGCAAGGGCUCAACCCUUGGACUGCUUUGGAAACUGUGCUGCUGGAGUGUCGGAGAGGCAAGUGGAAUUCCUAGUGUAGCGGUGAAAUGCGUAGAUAUUAGGAGGAACACCAGUGGCGAAGGCGGCUUACUGGACGAUGACUGACGCUGAGGCCCGAAAGCGUGGGGAGCAAACAGGAUUAGAUACCCGAGUA
rnacentral:rRNA from 1 species